CAAUAGCGUAUAUUAAAGUUGUUGCGGUUAAAAAGCUCGUAGUUGGAUUUCUGCUGAGAACGACCGGUCCGCCCUUUGGGUGUGUAUCUGGCUCUUUCUUGGCAUCUUCUUGGUGAACGUUGCUGCACUUGACUGUGUGGAGCGCUACCCAGGACUUUUACUUUGAGGAAAUUAGAGUGUUUCAAGCAGGCAUACGCCUUGAAUACAUUAGCAUGGAAUAAUAAGAUAGGACCUCGGUUCUAUUUUGUUGGUUUCUAGAGCUGAGGUAAUGAUUAAUAGGGAUAGUUGGGGGCAUUCGUAUUUAACUGUCAGAGGUGAAAUUCUUGGAUUUGUUGAAGACGGACUACUGCGAAAGCAUCUGCCAUGGAUGUUCNCAUUGA
rnacentral:rRNA from 1 species